UAUUGCCUGUUGCCUGGCAUUGUGCAAGAGGCUUUAGAGAAAGAAUUAUGCAGGAUUCACACUGCGUCCGAUGUCCGACGUACGACGUCCGACGUCUUUGCACUAAGGUGCAUUAGUUUAGCAUCAGUGCAGCUAUAGAGAACAGAUCAUAUAUAACAGAGAAGUCAAUAUAAUAGUGAAAGAGUUGUAUUUUUGGUAGCAAAAUAGAUAUGUUGACACUGUUGUGAAAGAAAAAAAAAUUAUUGAAGUUAUUAUUGAUAAUAUGUAUACAUCAAAAUGUUAAACUAAAUAAAAAAUAUAAAAGAACAUGGGUUAGAAAAUCUAUUCUUGCACGAGAAACCAGAGAUGAAGGAUCAACUUUAGUACAAGAAAUACGUCUUGGAGACUUAAUUUGAUAUUACAAUUAUAUAAGAAUGAUUCCUGAACAUUUUGAUGUACUGCUUAACUUAGUUAAGCCUUAAUACGAAAGCAAGAAACAUAUUUUAGGCAACCAAUUUCACCAAAUAUUUGCUUGCUAAUAACAUUACGUACAUAAUUGGAAAAGAAUAGCAGAUGAUUUCUUUAGACAGUGGAACUUCCCACAUUGUAUUGGAGCUAUUGAUGGAAAACAUGUUGUGAUACAAGCUCCAGGACAUGCAUUUCUAAUGGUAGAUAUUGGUGCACAAGGUCGACAUAAUGAUAGUGGGAUCUUUAAAGGAUCUAUUAUGAACUAACGGUUUGAAAAUAAAGAAAUUUACCACCGUCAAGUCCAUUAUCAAAUUUUAGUAAUAGAUCUGUUCAUGCAUCUGUUCAUCCAUAUAUGCUUGUGGGAGAUGCUGCAUUCCAACUCAAUGAAUACACAUUAAGACCAUAUCUGGCAAAUCAAUUAGAUAUAGGAAAAAGAAAGUUUAACUAUAGACUAAGCCGAGCACGACGUGUUGUAGAAAACGCGUUUGGUAUUAUGAAUAGUAAAUGGAGAAUUUACAGAAAACCAAUAAUUGUGUCACUUGAAACAGUAGAAAGCAUUGUUAAAGCAACUGUUUGCAUAACUUUUUGCUACCAAUGACACAUAACACAAAUAUAUUGAAUAAUAUGUGUGGAAUUAUUGAAAAUGAAGGUGCCAUAAGAAGUGUCAAUCGUAUGGGAAGCAAUACAUAUUUGCGAUCAGCAGCAAAUAUUAGAGACAAAUUUUGUCGUUACUUUACAAA
rnacentral:lncRNA from 1 species